AUUGAACGCUGGCGGCAGGCCUAACACAUGCAAGUCGAACGAGUGGCGGACGGGUGAGUAAUGUCUGGGAAACUGCCUGAUGGCGGGGGAUAACUACUGGAAACGGUAGCUAAUACCGCAUACCAUCGGAUGUGCCCAGAUGGGCUUAGCUAGUAGGUGGGGUAAAGGCUCACCUAGGCGACGAUCCCUAGCUGGUGUGAGAGGAUGACCAGCCACACUGGAACGGAGACACGGUCCAGACUCCUACGGGAGGCAGCAGUGGGGAAUAUUGGACAAUGGGCGCAAGCCUGAUGCAGCCAUGCCGCGUGUAUGAAGAAGGCCUUCGGGUUGUAAAGUACUUUCAGCGGGGAGGCGUUACCCGCAGAAGAAGCACCGGCUAACUCCGUGCCAGCAGCCGCGGUAAUAC
rnacentral:rRNA from 1 species